UACGGAGGGUGCAAACGUUGCUCGGAAUUACUGGGCGUAAAGCGUGCGCAGGCGGUUGGCAAAGUCAGCUGUGAAAGCCCCGGGCUUAACCUGGGAAUGGCGGUUGAAACUAGUCGACUCGAAUCUGGCAGAGGGGGGUGGAAUUCCACGUGUAGCAGUGAAAUGCGUAGAGAUGUGGAGGAACACCGAUGGCGAAGGCAGCCCCCUGGGCUGAGAUUGACGCUCAGGCACGAAAGCGUGGGGAGCAAACAGG
rnacentral:rRNA from 1 species